GAUGAACGCUGGCGGCGUGCCUAAUACAUGCAAGUCGAGCGAACAGACGAGGAGCUUGCUCCUCUGACGUUAGCGGCGGACGGGUGAGUAACACGUGGAUAACCUACCUAUAAGACUGGGAUAACUUCGGGAAACCGGAGCUAAUACCGGAUAAUAUAUUGAACCGCAUGGUUCAAUAGUGAAAGACGGUUUUGCUGUCACUUAUAGAUGGAUCCGCGCCGCAUUAGCUAGUUGGUUAGGUAACGGCUUACCAAGGCAACGAUGCGUAGCCGACCUGAGAGGGUGAUCGGCCACACUGGAACUGAGACACGGUCCAGACUCCUACGGGAGGCAGCAGUAGGGAAUCUUCCGCAAGGGGCGAAAGCCUGACGGAGCAACGCCGCGUGAGUGAUGAAGGUCUUCGGAUCGUAAAACUCUGUUAUUAGGGAAGAACAAAUGUGUAAGUACCUAUGCACGUCUUGACGGUACCUAAUCAGAAAGCCACGGCUAACUCCGUG
rnacentral:rRNA from 1 species